rnacentral:tRNA from 1 species
GCCUGGCUGGCUCAGUCAGUAGAGCAUGUGACUCUUGAUCUCGGGGUCGUGAGUUCGAGCCCCACGUGGGAUG